rnacentral:rRNA from 1 species
GAUAAACGCUGGCGGCGUGCUUUAUGCAUGCAAGUCGAACGGUCUCGAUUUAUCGGGAUAGUGGCGAACGGGUGAGUAACGCGUGAGUAACCUACCCCCAAGUAGAGGAUAACUCUGAGAAAUUGGAGCUAAUACUGUAUGUGCUAAUGGAGGUAAUGCUUCAUUAGUAAAGCCUUAGGGUGCUUGGAGACGGGCUUGCGUCCGAUUAGCUAGUUGGUGGGGUAAUGGCUUACCAAGGCGUUGAUCGGUAGCUGGUCUGAGAGGAUGGUCAGCCACACUGGGACUGAGAUACGGCCCAGACUCCUACGGGAGGCAGCAGCAAGGAAUAUUGUGCAAUGGGCGAAAGCCUGACACAGCGACGCCGCGUGGGGGAUGAAGGCUUUCGGGUCGUAAACCCCUUUUAUCAGGGAAGAACAAUGACGGUACCUGAGGAAUAAGUCACGGCUAACUACGUG